AGAGCGAAUGGUGGAUGCCUUGACUGGUAAAGGCGAUGAAGGACGUACUAGACUGCGAUAAGCUACGGGGAGCUGUCAAGAAGCUUUGAUCCGUAGAUUUCCGAAUGGGGCAACCCAAUGUAUAGAGAUAUACAUUACCUAUAUAGGAGCGAACGAGGGGAAUUGAAACAUCUUAGUACCCUCAGGAAAAGAAAUCAAUAGAGAUUGCGUCAGUAGCGGCGAGCGAAAGCGCAAGAGGGCAAACCCAGUGCUUGCACUGGGGGUUGUAGGACUGCAAUGUGCAAGAGGUGAGUUUAGCAGAACAUUCUGGAAAGUAUAGCCAUAGAGGGUGAUAGUCCCGUAUGCGAAAAACAAACCUUAGCUAGCAGUAUCCUGAGUAGGGCGGGACACGAGAAAUCCUGUCUGAAGCUGGGUCGACCACGAUCCAACCCUAAAUACUAAUACCAGAUCGAUAGUGCACAAGUACCGUGAGGGAAAGGUGAAAAGAACUGAGGUGAUCAGAGUGAAAUAGAACCUGAAACCAUUUGCUUACAAUCAUUCAGAGCACUAUGUAGCAAUACAGUGUGAUGGACUGCCUUUUGCAUAAUGAGCCUGCGAGUUGUGGUGUCUGGCAAGGUUAAGCAAACGCGAAGCCGUAGCGAAAGCGAGUCUGAAUAGGGCGCUUAGUCAGAUGCUGCAGACCCGAAACGAAGUGAUCUAUCCAUGAGCAAGUUGAAGCUAGUGUAAGAACUAGUGGAGGACUGAACCCAUAGGCGUUGAAAAGCCCCGGGAUGACUUGUGGAUAGGGGUGAAAGGCCAAUCAAACUUCGUGAUAGCUGGUUCUCUCCGAAAUAUAUUUAGGUAUAGCGUUGUGUCGUAAUAUAAGGGGGUAGAGCACUGAAUGGGCUAGGGCAUACACCAAUGUACCAAACCCUAUCAAACUCCGAAUACCUUAUAUGUAAUCACAGCAGUCAGGCGGCGAGUGAUAAAAUCCGUCGUCAAGAGGGAAACAACCCAGACUACCAGCUAAGGUCCCUAAAUCUUACUUAAGUGGAAAACGAUGUGAAGUUACUUAAACAACCAGGAGGUUGGCUUAGAAGCAGCCAUCCUUUAAAGAAAGCGUAAUAGCUCACUGGUCUAGUGAUUUUGCGCGGAAAAUAUAACGGGGCUAAAGUAAGUACCGAAGCUGUAGACUUGACUUUGUCAAGUGGUAGGAGAGCGUUCUAUUUGCGUCGAAGGUAUACCGGUAAGGAGUGCUGGAGCGAAUAGAAGUGAGCAUGCAGGCAUGAGUAGCGAUAAUUAAUGUGAGAAUCAUUAACGCCGUAAACCCAAGGUUUCCUACGCGAUGCUCGUCAUCGUAGGGUUAGUCGGGUCCUAAGUCGAGUCCGAAAGGGGUAGACGAUGGCAAAUUGGUUAAUAUUCCAAUACCAACAUUAGUGUGCGAUGGAAGGACGCUUAGGGCUAAGGGGGCUAGCGGAUGGAAGUGCUAGUCUAAGGUCGUAGGUGCUUAUACAGGCAAAUCCGUAUAAGAAUACACCGAGAACUGAAAGGCUUUUUGAAAUCUUCGGAUGGAUAGAAGAACCCCUGAUGCCGUCGAGCCAAGAAAAGUUUCUAAGUUUAGCUAAUGUUGCCCGUACCGUAAACCGACACAGGUGGGUGGGAUGAGUAUUCUAAGGCGCGUGGAAGAACUCUCUUUAAGGAACUCUGCAAAAUAGCACCGUAUCUUCGGUAUAAGGUGUGGUUCGCUUCGUAUUAGGAUUUACUCCGAAAGCGAAGAAACUUACAACAAAGAGUCCCUCCCGACUGUUUACCAAAAACACAGCACUCUGCUAACUCGUAAGAGGAUGUAUAGGGUGUGACGCCUGCCCGGUGCUCGAAGGUUAAUUGAUGGGGUUAGCAUUAGCGAAGCUCUUGAUCGAAGCCCGAGUAAACGGCGGCCGUAACUAUAACGGUCCUAAGGUAGCGAAAUUCCUUGUCGGUUAAAUACCGACCUGCAUGAAUGGCGUAACGAGAUGGGAGCUGUCUCAAAGAGGGAUCCAGUGAAAUUGUAGUGGAGGUGAAAAUUCCUCCUACCCGCGGCAAGACGGAAAGACCCCGUGGACCUUUACUACAGCUUGACACUGCUAUUUGGAUAAGAAUGUGCAGGAUAGGUGGGAGGCUUUGAGUAUAUGACGCCAGUUGUAUAUGAGCCAUUGUUGAGAUACCACUCUUUCUUAUUUGGGUAGCUAACCAGCUUGAGUUAUCCUCAAGUGGGACAAUGUCUGGUGGGUAGUUUGACUGGGGCGGUCGCCUCCCAAAUAAUAACGGAGGCUUACAAAGGUUGGCUCAGAACGGUUGGAAAUCGUUCGUAGAGUAUAAAGGUAUAAGCCAGCUUAACUGCAAGACAUACAAGUCAAGCAGAGACGAAAGUCGGUCUUAGUGAUCCGGUGGUUCUGUGUGGAAGGGCCAUCGCUCAAAGGAUAAAAGGUACCCCGGGGAUAACAGGCUGAUCUCCCCCAAGAGCUCACAUCGACGGGGAGGUUUGGCACCUCGAUGUCGGCUCAUCGCAUCCUGGGGCUGGAGCAGGUCCCAAGGGUAUGGCUGUUCGCCAUUUAAAGCGGUACGCGAGCUGGGUUCAGAACGUCGUGAGACAGUUCGGUCCCUAUCUGCCGUGGGCGUAAGAAGAUUGAAGAGAUUUGACCCUAGUACGAGAGGACCGGGUUGAACAAACCACUGGUGUAGCUGUUGUUCUGCCAAGAGCAUCGCAGCGUAGCUAAGUUUGGAAAGGAUAAACGCUGAAAGCAUCUAAGCGUGAAGCCAACUCUAAGAUGAAUCUUCUCUAAGCUCUCUAGAAGACUACUAGUUUGAUAGGCUGGGUGUGUAAUGGAUGAAAGUCCUUUAGCUGACCAGUACUAAUAGAGCGUUUGGCUUAUCU
rnacentral:rRNA from 1 species